rnacentral:rRNA from 1 species
CAGUCGCCGCGGUAAUACGUAGGUGGCAAGCGUUGUCCGAAAUUAUUGGGCGUAAAGGGCUCGCAGGCGGUUUCUUAAGUCUGAUGUGAAAGCCCCCGGCUCAACCGGGGAGGGUCAUUGGAAACUGGGAAACUUGAGUGCAGAAGAGGAGAGUGGAAUUCCACGUGUAGCGGUGAAAUGCGUAGAGAUGUGGAGGAACACCAGUGGCGAAGGCGACUCUCUGGUCUGUAACUGACGCUGAGGAGCGAAAGCGUGGGGAGCGAACAGGAUAAGAGACCCCCGUAGUCCCUGUCUCUUAUAC